ACAGGGAGUCACUAACUCCUCCAGACCCACCUACCUUCAGCCCUUUCAGCAUUUGGUAGACCAGGUACUGGAUCUUUUCAUCACUGAAUUCAUGUCCCAUGAUCUUUUGUAAAUCUGUCCGCAUGUAUGGCAUCACCAGGUAGCUAAAAGGCAGUAAGACAAGGCCCUGAGCCUGGAAGAAAAAUGCAGGGGACCAGACUAGCCUUGUUCUCACUUGGUUUGGUGUUUCUGGCUGUGUAACUCACUGUGAGGAGGAUGAGUUGUUGUGACAGUGUUCCUGGCUAACCAGCUCAUCCUGCAGAGAAGUUGGAAUUUCAACCUGUUCUGAAAAUUGUUCUUUCUCCUCCUCUGAAAUCAGAUAUCUGAUGUCAAGUAAGAACAAGGAUCUUCAGAUCCUGAGUUAGUUUAGAUUUCAAGUGAAGUUCAGUGUUGGGCAGCUUUUCACCAUCCAGGAGCUGAAACAUCUCACACAGCAAAGCAGCUGCACUGGCUCCCAAAUUUGUCAUUGCAAUGUUCUCCAGCCCUGCCUCAGAAGACAACAUCCAGCUUCCUUCAGUACCUGCCUGCUGAGGCUGCUAAUUAACUGAUGGUCUUCCUGCAGGAACUGCUCUGAGACCCUUCAAUGCUCUUCCUGCAGGCUGCUAACACUCAGCAUCAGCCAAACCCCAAACCCAGGCACACACUGCUCAUCUGCAGUGAUGGGGAAGGAAAAAGGACUUGUCCAACGUGGCCAUGAACGUGGAGGGAAAAUGCCAAAAAAAAUCAUUGAGAAGAGCCAGAAUUAAGAGGAAAAGAGGGACAGAUCUUUCAAAUUCUGAGCUUAAUUGUCCUGAGGCCUGAUGAACAAUACUUUUCCUGUUCUGAGUGCAGCCCCUCAGCUCAGCAGUCACACAGUGCUGGCAUGGAUCACCCUGGUGUGAUGCACCAUGGAAUGCAACACAUCCUCACUGCACAGCUGGUGCGAGCGUGAAGGGACAUGUCUUUGGGCCCUCCUCCCUCCGCCUCCACAUUGGCAGAGGUGAGGCAUCAGGUUUCCUGACACGCCUCGGUGCCGGGCAGGUGCCUCUGGCUCGGCGGCAGCAGGACGGGAGCAGCCGGCCCGGCUCGGCACGCCUCCGCCAGCCCUGUCACCCGCAGCUCCCGCUCCGCUGCUCCAUCAGCCCGGAAGCAUCCUCACGAGAGCUCGUGAAACCCUCCUCCAAACGAGGGGAUGAGUAAGGACUCGCCGAGCCGGGGAAUCCGAACGACAAGCCACAGACAGCAGGGACAUCCUCUCGAAGGCGAUGGACAGCUCGUGACAAAGUCACAUCGAUGGCCAUUUUCUCCUGAGCCCGGCUUGCCAGCAGCGUGGGGAGGUGCUGACAGCAGGCUGAGGUUCUCCAGGGUUCCAGGAGCAGCUCUGGGAUGGGAACAGCCCCACGCUUUGUGCCCCAGGCUUUGCUGGGUGCGGUCUCGUCUCCUGCAGCAGCUCUCGGCCCUUCCUGGCUCUUCUCGGACAAAACAAAGCCCGUGGUCACCGCCGUGGCUGUGACCGACCAGCCCAGCACCCCCAGCCCACGAGGAGCACUCCUGGGAAGCAGAAAGCACCUCAGAAUUCACCCCAGCACGGGCAGGCUCAGGCGGGGCUCCCACACAGGAGGUGCAUCCUCCCCACUCCCCAGAGGAAGUGACUAAGCCGAGCCUUACCAAGCCAGCCCAGCUGCUUGCAGUGUUCUACCCCAGCAGCCCUCCAACCCUGCCCAGAGCCUCUGCUCCUUCCACACAGGGCCCUGCAAAGGUGUCCCUACAGCAAAAGAACAACAAGGGGGUGGGGGAAAUUCCCUUUAUGUGCAACCACUGCAUUGGCCCUUACGCUCUUGGAGCAGCCCAGCAGAGCCUGCUGUGCACAAACACAAACAGGGGCAAGGCACCAGGGCACAAUCUGUGUAAUCCACAGCUUGGCUGGGUCUAUAAAUACACCUGUGAGCAAGAGGUGUCACAGCAAAAGCUCCUGGUCCUUAAGCAAACGUGUAACUGCUGGGUUAUUUGAUGAGCACAGCCCUUGCUCAGCUGCUGCUGCACACACAGGCACUCAGCACCCAAUUAGGGAGUCCUGGAUAGCUGGGGCAGGUCAGGCUCUACUGAGAUGAGUUAACUCCAGUGACCAAAUCAAACAGGAAACUUUAGAAUGGGGGGAAAACAGACAAGAAGCCCCACAGCAGCAGAGUCAGCCUCCAGCCACCUUGUCCCUCCCAGCCCUCACACCCAGGAUCCCCCAGAGCACAGCAGAGAAAUCCACACCAUGCUAAAACCCAACACUUCCCAGUGCAAGAGCUUUCCAAGUACCAGCAGUGCAGUAAAUCUGAAAAAUAGAUUUUAUUUUUAACCAGUGGUAUUGUGACAUCUUAUCUGGCAUUACCAAUUACAGCAAAAUCCAUGGAUAGGAACAAAAUAGCAGAUCUCUGCUUCUGGGUGCAGCACGGUGCCCAGCAGCCGAGCACAGCAGCACUGGCAGCAGGGAGUUUGUGCCCCAGGGCUCCCUCAGAGGACAGACUCCAAUGAACCAUUCCCACUCACACACACAGACACACCCACACACACGACACCGAGAGCUUUUAAAAAUCUUUAGCAAUAUUUCCGCAUGAAAUCACACUGUAGCAUCUACACAGAGAAUGGCUGAUAAAAAUAAUCUUGCUGUAGGUUUACAUAGUGUAUCUACAUUUUUAUUUGAAUACCCAGACUGCUGGCCCAGCAGAAAAGGGAGGUUUUUUGUCUUGAUUUUGUUGGGCUGUGGAGAGUUUUAUCCUAGAGCACAACAGAGCUGCUCUCUGCAUCUCAGCCCAGACCUUUCUUGAACUCUUGGCCUGAAGAGACUGCUGGGAAGUCACCCAGGAAGAAUCAAUGGCUUUGUCAUCCACGUCCCAUCCCUUUGUGCUGCCUCUUCAAACAUGGGGCAAAACCACUACAAAAACACUCUCUGCCCCACAGGUAACAGGAAUACAAAAUACUGCAAAAGCCUUUCUCCUCACAUACACGGGUACAUUGCCCACACAGGAUGCCUGCAACAAGUUAAAAAGUCUAAAAAUGUUUCCUCCAGAAGCCCUAAAAUUGGGCUCCUGAGAUCCCCAGCUAGAGAUGGAGCACACAACCAUGCUGAGAAACCUCCCUCCUGCCAGCCUCUCACUCUGGGCACUUCACUCAUGCAGAGUCCUGGAAAAUACAAAAUAUUUGAACCAUGUUUGUUUCAAACAUACUCCCUUCUCAUGUUUCCUCGGGCAGAGAUCAACCUGCUAAGAAAUAUCCAAGAAGCUCUUAUGUGAGAGGAUAAAAAAACUUCUAGUAAAUGUUAGUUUUAUGUAUAUAAAUAUUUGUAUUUAUAGAUAUAGACAGUGAAAGGGUGAUUGUGUGUUUAUGCAUGCUUAUUUCUUUGCUUUGGGUUCCAAUACUUCUAAAAAAAAAUCUUUUCAGGAAAUAACUUAAGUUCUGGCACAAGAUACUAUAGUCAUUUCUUUAAAGAAUGUUUUUUACACUUGAUCUCACAAGAAACCUUUCCACCCAAGCUCUCCUCCUCUGCAGAGAGGUCAGAACAAAGAAAAAGGUGCAUGUUUCUGUUGUUGGACACAACUCCCCUCCCUUGUUGAAGCCUCCAGGAUGGCAGGGAUUUCACAAGGAGCUGCAGCACAGGAGGAAGGGUGCUGUGAUUUUAUGGCACUGCCUGAGGUACUCAGCAAACAUUUCACUGAUUGAACUGCCCCCAGUGCCAUCCCCAAAAAGUAAGGACAAAAAUCAAGCAGCUCUACAUGCACAUACAGCUACAACAUGCAAAAACACACCACCUUGUAGGGAACAGAAUACACAAACGUGUGGCUAGCAAGGAUUUCCCCAACCUCUGGCUCCUGGGAGACAAUGCUGAGAAGCCUCAGAACAAGAGGAGGAGGAAAGUGAGAAA